CAUUAGAACAGCAUUAUAUGAAGUCUUCAAAGCUUCAUCCAGAGUUAAAAGAUCUUUCUUGAGAAGACCAUCAGUGUCAAUAACUAUACAAACAGUUGCAUGCUUUUGAAGUUUGUCAAUCAAAUCCGUGACCUCAUCAUAGCGCCUUCGUCCUUCAAAGCUGAAAGGUUUCAGAAUGAUGCCGACCGCUAGUCCAUUUCUGGACUUUAAUUUCCUUAUAAUAUCAAG
rnacentral:misc_RNA from 1 species